CUAGGUGAUUGGAGCGAUGGUGGUACACCCGGUUACAUCUCGAACCCGGAAGUUAAGGCCGUCAGCGCCGAUGGUACUUGGGGGGCGACCCCCCGGGAGAGUAGGUCAUUGCCUAGA
rnacentral:rRNA from 1 species